ACAGAGGAAAGGGCUCCAUGGAUUUGCUGCCUUCGGAAGGGAAGUGAACACCCCGGUGGGGGGCAAAGCUCAGACAGGCAACACAUGGGAGCAAAGGAACAACACAUCAAGGAAGCUGAAAAGCAACACUAAGGAAUAGUUUGGGUAUAUUUUACUCUUCCUUAAGACACAAGGAAGGGUGGAUGUAACCGUGAAAGAAGACGUGAGGACACUAAACUGCUCAAGUGAAAAACAAGCAGCAAACCCAGUAUCACUCUCAGACCAGCACUAAACCAAACCCAAGGAAAAUAUAUUAAAAACUAAGACUAUGCUGUGUCCCUGCUCUGCUGCUGUGUUUGCUGCCGUGCUCAGGUGUUAAAUCAGUUGCCUGGGAAACGUCAGAACAGCGCAGGAGAUGGACAAAACAACAAAACCUUGAACAGAGGGGGCUGACACCGGGAGAAAAAUGAGUUUGCUACUCAGAAAUGUGCAGGGAUUACAAUGCAGAGAACUUGCCACACUGGCUGCCUCUCUCCUCUCUCCCAGGUUCGAGUGUGCAGCUGCUGUCAAUUUGAGUGGCUCCAACUGAAAUAAUGGGAAUCUGCUUCCAUCGGCCCGAGGACACAAAUCCCAAGGAGCAGCAGCACUCAUAAAUACUCCACGAGGUAUUAACAUUGCUCCUGUUCAAAUCCACAAGGACUCCCAGCUCCCGCCGGAACCAACGGGAAACACCUGUUAGUAACAGAAGAAACUGGCCACUGCUGGAAAGCUCUGAAAAUAUGGAUCCACUGAGCUACAUUCACUCAGAAAACUGUUCCAGUGUUGUCCUUCUUUCCCCUCACAACAUUUUAAAUUUGGAUUAACCAACUAAUCUAUGAUUAACAAACUCUACUUCCUGAGAGACCCCCGGUCGUUAUCAUUGCUCAGUGUUUUGGACUGCAAGAUCCUCAACCUUCAAAAGUGCUUAACUAAAUCAUGACAUGCAUCACUUGCUAUCUGACACUUUUCCACACUACCUUCUUAAUAAGGCUUAGGCAUUUUGGAAGGAUUCCCACAAAGGAUAAGAGGGUAUCCAACCUCCAAACCAUACAAUCUUCAGAAAGACUCCCAGUCAGAGUGGAAAACGCCAGCACAUAUUUUAAUAGUCUCAAUAGGUGGUUUUUCUGAAAUACAGAAUAUGAGGAAUGUCCCCUCAAAUGUUUUGUUGCAUAUAUUAUUUAGAAAUUCCUGUUGUGUGAGUCUCUAUUUGCAUUUAUUCCAAAAUAUCCCUUUUGCAUUCUACAAUAUGAUCACACAGACACUAAAGGGAACACUUCCAGGAUAUUUUUAAAGGCCUGAGUACAGAUUAAUUUUUUAAUACUGGAAAUUGAAAGCAUUCUGCAUUCCCUGCUGUAAUACAAGCAGCAUCUACAGUAAUACCGUCCCAUUUGCAUCCCAGCACCCUGUAAGGGCUAAGGAGAAAUGUAUUUUGAUAAAAAUUCACUUUUCUGAAGAAUAUAAUCUCUCAAAUGAUGCCUGAUGGGACACUGUGCAAAAUGAGCCAGUGCUGAUUCAUCCAAGCUGAGGACGGGACCUACUCAGGGAGCACUUCCUGUGCUGCUGGCUCUAUGGAUCUCAGUCUCCCAGCAGGAAUGAUGUGGUAGGACUGGAAGGGAACAGAGCCUUGGGUCUUGCCAGACCUUUCUGAGCUCAACAGCCAGCCAAAAACAGCUGCUGGUGGUAUGACAUGCUCAGAGCAGGCAUCACCCAGACUUCCUUCCUUUUCAUGUGGUGCUUUCCAGCUUGGAAACUGCAAAGACACUGUUUUGGAGGCUUUGGAGGUGAAGAAGGUUUCAAGCAAGUGCUGAAUGUAGAUAACAAGCAGCAACAGUCAGGACUGAGGAAGUGCUGAGAACAGAAAAGCUGGAGGAUGGCAGAGGAGAGGUCACAGCAGCAAUAAAGAAGAGAACAUGCCCCUCAGGGGACAUUUUCCUAAAAUCAACUGAAAGUACUGCACUGUAAGCAGGGAAGCAGAUGCUGAAGGUGAAUGGGAUAGUCCCACAUUGGCUACCUGUGCUCAAUGGAUAGCUCUGCCACCUACUGCUGGUAUUAUUUUUUCUUUCAGCCAAAAUAUGCAUUAAAGGUUUGUGACAGCAGCAGUGACCUGAGGUGAGGCUGAUGAGGCACCAGAAAAAAGCAGAGUUGCACUUUUAAGGGUUAAUAGGAAUAAAGAUAUAAAUAUGAUACCAGUGAGAAAAAAGAUGAGAGACAGCAAUAAAAAGUUUGCAGAAGAUGACAUUUCUUUAAGUUAGCCCAGGUUCACUAUAAAUCACUUCUUACUUAACAGAUUUUUACCUUUGUUCUUGAAAAUUACAUUUCCCUAAGAAAAAGAAAGCAGUAACACUCCUAAAUAAAUAAUCAGGACUUGAUGUACUGCCAAGGGUUUCUACUAAGGGCUAGGAAAAUGAUCAGCGUAAUUAAAAAUAUAUUCAGAGUGUGCACAUGUUUCUUUUUAUGUUAUAAUGUUGCUUCUUUGUGCAUGCUUUUUCUGGGUUAAAAAAAACCUAACAAAGGGAGAGAUAAAUGGGAGGGCAUUAAGCACAGUGAUCAUAAAGUAUUGCCAGACUGAAUGGUUUUCUUAUUGUCCUAAUAAUUAUUACAUGACUAGUUGCUACUUCACGGCUUCGGUGAGGGCAAAGGUGCUUCCCCCUUCCAAAGCCACGAGCACUUGAGCAGAUCCUUCAAAACUCUCCUUGGGAAAAAGAACAGUCUGCCACCAUUGAUUUUCUCAAUUUUACUUUCCUGUUGGAAGAGAGCAAAUGGGAAUGUGAUGGCUGUACCCUCGCCUAGCCUCCCAGCAAAAUCUGAGGCUGUCGGGUUUUGUAAUAAAUGGAUAAAUAUCAAGUAAAUAUUAAAUCAUUAAUCCCAUUGUUGGCCAGCUGCCACACAUCUAUUGAACAUAAUGAAUCCACUAAAAGGGAAGGGCUUGUGUUUUGGGCCUGUAAAUGUGAAAAUGGACACUCUAAGAAAGAACUGGGAAGAGCUUCAAACUUCUUUUGCACUGUUCCCCGAGUUUACUCUGAUUUACUCCCCUCAGUUUACUAUGCCAGGAAUAUUAUGAUAAAUUAAAAGACUGUAUUUCCAAAUGUAGCUUCUGAAGCUACUUAGAAAUGAAUGCAGGCAGAGAAACCCGUAGAUGCAAUCUGAGAUGAUUUGCAGACUUUCACAUACAAGUCAAAGCAAAUGUAGCAAGUGUCAAGGUAAAUAAUUAAACAUGUGAGGUCACUCGCAGUGUAGUUAAAAAAAUCCAGAAUAGGUUGGACUAAUCAGGAAUUCCCAUCCUUAACUCUUUGGUUUUUGGCUUCUGUGCCUCUAGACCUUUGGAUCACACCUCUGUCCUGACCAACCCUGACAAACAUCUGUGGUAUGGCUAUAAAUUCAUGCUGGUAGAGGAGAGAGCAGUAUUUUAUCUCUUCAGAUCAACUUUAAACUGCACUGUCUUUAAACCUCCCCGUGGGCCUGUGCUUCUCACAUUUGUAAAACAGCUUUACUGUUGUCUCCCAGAAAAUCUGUAUAAAGCCGCAGCAUUUGGCUUAUGUGGGUCCUAAUCCUCACUGACAGAACACAAAGUCCACACUGGAGGUAAGAGGCCUGCAAAAUAUCACAGUUAAAAAUUGCUUUUGCUUUGGCCAUGUCUGCACUCUUCCAAGGAGCAUAAAUUUCUGCAUAUUGGAAUCAUAACUUAAAAAGGGGCCACACUGAUUUUUGCUUCUUUUAAUUCAGGGAAACGAAAUAGCUGUCAAAGAAAAUACUUAUGUGACGAGUUCUAGCACAAAACACAUUUUAGAGCCAAGAUAUAAACCUUUGAAAAAUGGCACCUAAUGGAAACAAUGACAGUUCAUUCACUUUAUGAAGGCACGAGGAGGUGCCGUACAAAGUGUUAUAACAAACAUAAACCAGAAGAAAAUAACUCCCCCGAGGUCUGUUUAAACUGGGCCUCACCACUGCAGGGGUUUGUUUAUGUUCUGGCAUACUGGCAUUCAGAAGAACUUGGUUGGUUAAAGCCAGUCUGUCAAUAACAUUAAAAAACCUAUAUUGUGCAGAAGUCACAUUUUUAGCACUUAGUGCAGCAUUACUUUUUUUAUUUGACAUAAUGCUGAGUCUCUGUCAAACAUGACAAAAUAAACAUCAAAUCAAACAGGAGAGACAGAAGUCCCUGUGCACAUCUGCUUGUCAAAAAACACUUGUUCCUAUCUAAACUAAAAUAGUAAAUUUACAAUUAUUUUCUCACAAGUUAACAGUAUCUUAGACUAGAAAACGAGUGCCAAAAGUUGAAUUCCUAAACUGUCUUUUUUUCUGAAUCUUUUAAAGUAUUGUUGACAAUUUGCUGUGCAAACAAUACAGUUCAGACUGUAACUCAAAUUACCAGCAGCUUCUGGGUGCUCAGCCUUUUAAAAAACAUGACAACACCUAAAAAUUUCAGCUCAGAUAUGAGAUACAGUCAGGGAGCAGAAUUCCACCCCCUGCAUAUACGGACUGCCAGAAAGUUAUGUGCCAUGUUGGAACCUCCCUAAUCUCUGAAUCCAAGCAAAUCUCAUGGAGCUUAACAAACUGUCAGAUUUAAUGUUUAGGGGCAAACUUAUUAGCUACAGAGAUGUUUUCCAUAUUAUGCUCUGCACACUUGUUCAGCUGUCAUAAAAACUACAUCAUUCAUUCUCCUCCCCAAAUACAGACCUUAAUCUGGAACCCUAUCUAACCUGAGGGAAAAUUUCUGGCCAGACUUUAUCUGAGCAACACAACUGUUGUUCACUUUUUAAUGGAAGUAUAUUUGAUGCAGUUGUGUGUAUUUGAUGCAGUUGUGUAGAGGCCAGAACAACAACCAAGAGCCACUCUUGCUUCCCUGAAGGCUAAACUCCAUCAUCACUUCCUGCUGGUGCUUUUUGUGUAUUUUAUGGUACCACUGAAAAUAUGCUAAGAUUUUCUGUAAGAUAAAGAAAUCAGAUCUGUCCAACACUGUACCUGUGAGGUAGGUGUUGUGUGAGGAAUUGAUGAAAUAGUGUGACAGUGGUUGAGACAUAUCUUCAUUUAAAUCCAGUUUCUCAGGUGGAACGACGCCGUUUUCUUCUCCACUCAGGUAUCGCAUGAAUCCAUCCACUGAUAUCUGUCCUGAGAGAAACACAGAUCCAGGGAAAGCACCAGUUAAUUUCCAGUACAGCUUUUGUGAUGCACAGAUGUUAAGGUUCAUAUACACUUACACAAAGGUACCUGUGAAAGACCAUAUAAUCAUCAGACCAGCCUUCACCCAGUUAUCCAUAUAUUCUUGUUACUACCACCUCAUUUUCAGCCACAUAACUCACACCCCUUUAGCUGUACCAAAGAUAAAUCAUUUCACAAUCAGUGCCUCUGAUAAGGGAAUCAGAGCUACAGAAGGCUGUAGGAACAGAGAAAAUAAAUCUAAGCCUAUCAAGGAAAAGAGUCUUCCGGGGACCAAACAAAGCACACUUUCCAGAGGAAACAGAGAAACCUGCUGAGAGCCAUGGACACAGGUAACUUCGACCUCUCCUGAGUUUGGUUCAGUGUGUGUAUAUGAAUGCAACAGAACUGCAAAGCAAAGCAAAACAAACUAAAUGAAGCACCUUUCAAGUGGGAACUGAGCUUUGCUUUGUAAUUUUUAUAUUUGUCUUCUCGUUCAUCUCUCAGUGGAGUGCCAGCAUAAAUGAUCAUUUCAUAUGCUGCUGGCAAAUUACAAAGCUGAGUCCUAUCCUCAGCUUAAAUAUCACCACUGAUCUCAGUGGAGCUGUGCUGAUUACAUCAGGAUGAAUUCUGCUGCCAAGCCUUCUGCAUAAAGUUGACUUUAGGGUUUCAAUUUGUACAUUUAGACUCAACAACAACAACAAAAAAAAUCCAGUAGUUUACAUUUGAAGAUUAAUGCUUCACUGAACAAAUUAGAGACAGUUUUUCUUGCCUGGUAUUUUUUGUUAUUUUGUCUACAUUUCAUCUGUUGAUUUACUCAACCAUAGAGCUUUACUCAAUUCAGCUCUACAGUAAAACAGAUCUGCUGUAUCUCUGAAGAACCUUAAAGCAUCUAUGUGCUUGGUGACUCUCAACAAGGAGAAUUUCUUACCCCUUGCCCCCAACCCAAAAUGUUCUGCAUAGUGUGCCUGUUAAAAAACCCCCUCAGUCAUCUGACUGUGGCAUUGAAAAACAGAAGACUUCGGUUCUGCUCCUGACUCUGCUGCUCUCUCUUUUUAUUCUAAAACAUACAAGCUUACACAUACUUUUCUAGCAGAUGAACAAGUAACAGGCAACCCUGCAUAAUUUAUUUCUUUUUAAAGCUUGUAACCACAUGAUGCAAAUAUAGCAUGUAAAGCAUUUACUUAAAAUCUGUGCUUAGAUCUAAGGACUUGGCUCUUGAUCAGAGAGGAGAAGAUGUAACAACCUUAAAGUGCAGAUCCUCAUUUUCAUAACAACCCAAGACUGGUGGCACUAAACAAACUUAUAUGACAAGAACUGUAGUGACUAUACAGAGCAAUGCAAUUAUCAUUCAUUCUUAUAACAACAAUUGCUGGAAAGAAAACCAUCGGGUCCAUCCACUAUUUUAAGGCUGUAAUCUGAGUGCAAUCUUGUCAGGCUCCACAGCUGCUUUGCUAAAGAGUGACUAAUCAUCUGCAGACAGAGGCCCACGUACUUUCCUCUUCACAAAAAAAUUCUGAGACAGUGAAAAUUGGGGAAAAAACCUGCCACUGAGGUUUUUCCCAAAACUAAAGAUUCAGGAGCAACUUUUCUGCUGCAUGAACUUACCAGAGGAACAUUAAGAAUGCCAACAGUAUCAGGUGCUAUCAUGGAGUUAAGCUUAACCUAAAAUCCACCUAAGAACUCUGCACUAAGUUCACUGGGACAUAGACAGGGUCUGUGGUGUGCACAAGCAAUGUCAUACAGGGAAAACCAGCUCAGAUCCAAAAGGGACUGCUGCUACAUGGGGAACCAGCAAAGCCAUGUUACAUGACAGUGAGCUGCAGCUCCUGAUGUUUGAGAUAGCUCAUCCAGACUCAUGUUUGGUACCUCUGCGUUGCCCUUUCAGCCAGACUAGGAGGGUUUUCCUGUCAUUCCUCCUCUAGGCUAAAAUGAAAUGUAGUAGUUUUCAAGCACACUAUUCAGAAAAAAAGGCUUCCAUUUUGUUAUGUGGAUAGUCAGGUCGAUUCAUACAGACAUGGUUUUCAAGGUUCUCAAAGUGAUCUCUGUGUUUAAUCCUCAGAGUGUACCUGACAAACAGGGUCCUUGCAGUCCUUGUUUUUCAGAUGGAGACCUGAAGCUGGGGAUAAACUAACAGAGUGGACAACAGCCCAUGGAAAACCUGUGGGUUAAGCUGGGAGUUGAACUGCACAAUCUCUUGAAGCCUGUCUGGGUGAACUUGAGCACCUCUGCAAUUAACAGUAAGCAAAGCCCGGGCCUGCACUUCCUCCCUUCUCUCUAUUUUGUGGUUCAUUCUGCUUCUUUGCUUCCUUCCACACUGCAGUAAGGCAAGGUCUGCAGAGUGGUCCUUCUGUGCACUGCCACCAGUAUUAGCAUAAAUCACAGCAAGCAUUAUUCACACGUAUAAUUAGAUAGUUUCUGAGUUACACAGUUAUCUGAGCUUACGGCUGGAGAACGCUAUUUUCCCCAUCAUAAUUAAGCAGUCAGCAUUUCAGAAAGGGAAGCAAUUUGCAAGUUCAAUUACAACCAAUAUUGCACCGGCGAGAGUUUCUCUGCGGAACAAAAGAUGGCAGAUGUCAAAGGGGCUUUGUAUCCUGGAAAUUAAAGAGUGCAUUGUUUGUGACCGAUGUCAAUGAUAUUCUGAAGCCAACUGCAGUGAGGACGACCCUCGGUGGACACUCAAGCAAAACAAAACAGCCUCAGUUUAUUGUUUAUGAGAUGUAGAAUAUUCCCCUUCCUGGGAGAUGGUGCUCACAAGAUUACCAUGAAACAGGAAUUCCAGCCAGCCAGCUGAAAUGGUUGACAGGAUAGCCUUUAUUUUGAGAAUAUAUUCCUCAGAGGCUCCUCUUGAAGACUUACUGUCUCUUCAUCAUCCUCUUUGAGCGUACGCAGAGAACCCAGGACACUUCUCUCAUCAGGGCCCGUGACAGCCCUUGGGCAGGACCAGGGCACACUGUGCAUUCCCUGUGCCAGCACAGGCACAGAUAACAGCCCCCUGCAAAACUCUUCUCGUGCACUUUCCAGGGCUGGCAAAAGCACAGGCUGCUUUUGACACAGCAAUCCUUCUUCUGCUGCUUAAUGAGACAUAGGUAACUUGACAGGAUGCUGUUUUCCCAGUCCCCUUAGAGCGCCGGCAUGACCAGCAUGUUGUUCUGGAUGUGGAAACGCCUUUGUGUCCCUGGGAGCUUGCCAGCUCAUCAACUGGAGGACAUAAACAAACCCCUGCUCACUCAGCACCGGCAGCACUGUGCCAAGCACAAGAUAAAAGACAUGGGGGUUCAAAGGAGGGCCGAGCUUCCAAAAGAACUUUCUCCACCAGCUCAGUGCCCUCUGCAGAGGCCCAGGAUAAAGACCAAAACCCCAGCAGUGCAGCAGUCUGGGGGAAAUAUAAAAGUGCAGCUAACCCUGCAAACCUCUCAACCCAACUGCUGGAUCUAAACUUCACCCCCUUGUUUUGUCAGGUACGCUGGAUGUGCAGCUACUCCAUUUUCCCUGCAGUCUGCCCAAUCUGCUCCCAGGAAGCCUUGCAGUCCUUUGGGCAGGCUUGGGACAGAAAACAAGAGAGGCACAACUGACAGCAGAAAAGACCACUUAUCUGCACACUUUUCUUUGCACUUUAGUCUUGCAACUUUAACAUCGAAGAGCCUUUGCUCGUCCCUUAAAAUUUGUCAAUGUUUUGUACGACAAUUAAAAUGUGCAUUUGCUUGUAGGCUGUCAACAGGUUGGGCCACGUGGAUCUUAAACAUUUCUUUCCAUGUAUUUGCAAACUCCAUAGCGCUUUGCAUUUGUUUACACCCAUGCUGUUAUCCACUCAGAAUGUAACUGGAAAGUAUAACUGUGCCAAGAGAUGCUAAUAAAGUAAAACAGAAAACAAACAGAAAAGGAAGAGAGACAAUGAAUCGGUGCCUCCCAUCUCCCAGUCAGAGACACAGAAUUACAACAGUAUUUUGUCUGACAGCGAAUUCAGGUCUAUUCCAAUGCAAUCUGCAGCAUGAAUCACAUUUGCUGUGAUCCCACACAACCGAGCAGUCCUCUCAAGCUGAAGAUUAGAAUCCUAUAAGUAAAGCAGACAGUUGAUAACUCUACCAGAGAUCUGUACAACGUGUCCCAGUGGGAAUUCUAUCUCACAAACCAGCACUGCAAUUUCCAGCUCAUUAGGUAUUAAAACUUCAUGCCCAGCGUUGAGUAGGAUGCACAUACCCCUGGUGUGUCUCUUGACUCUGGGCACACAUUAGCUGCUCUCUGCUCUGCAGCUCUGUGAGCCAGCAGAGAAGCUCACAGGGACGAAUUUACAUAAAAUCCACUCUGUGUGGGACACGAUGUGCCGGAGCCACUCUGAUGACGGUCGCAGCAUUUGCAUCCGAGCAAUUUGGGAAGUGAUGCUGAAACCUGUUUGGCUUUCCAGACACACAUGCUAUUACUGUAUUGCCACGGUGUAACUGGAAUUUCUGUCUGUAUUCAGUUUUGCAAACUAGGGCAGGACAGGAGUGUCCUGUUGAAUUGUCCAAGUGACAUCCUCCUAAUGGCAAAGUCAUCACAAGGAGAGAAUAUGGUACAACCUCAGCCCAGACUGAAAACGCCUCAACCCUGCAACUGAGAUGCUGGACUUUACCCCAGGAAUGUCAGUGCUGCUCUGUUCUAGAAAAAACACCGAGGAGGUAAAAACUGUCAGGCCUCAGAUCUGGAUCUGCAGAUCUAUCAAAAUAUCUACAUACCAACCAUCACUUACACACCCCAUUCAGAAAUGGGCAGUAACUCCUCCAUUUGAGCAGUUUUCUCAACGAUCAGUAAAGGCAAAAAUUCAUACUAGUCAGACAGUCUUAUCAAAUUAAUAAGCAGAGGAAGGGCAAUACAUCUGAAUUGCUGUAUCUGAAUAUUAGUGAAGCAUUUAAUGAAGUUUUCUAAAUUCAAAUUUUUUCUUAUUGGAAAAACUAAUCUGUAAAAAGCACAGAUAGAAAUAAACUGAGGUCGGACUAGAAGAUUCAGGGCUUCUUUGAAUUUGGAAGCUUAAGUGCAUAAAAAACCCAGACGCUGACACACUGAUCAGCAGUAGGUCUGGCUUCAUAAAGUCUUUAAUAAAGUGAAAAAGUAGAAUCAACCACACAGGGUUUAAAGAACAGACAGUUCUCUGGUAGCUGUUAGCAAAACAAGAGGGUUAAAGCUGUAAUGAACCAGGUAAAUGGGACACACAUCAAAUGAGAACACACAUAUAAUAAUUCAAGCUACAUAACUAAUCACUGGAGCAAAGAAAAAUCUAAAAUACAGAUUUGAGCUGGGAAGAAGAUGCCUACAAAUCUAUCACCCUGAAAAGCAGACGAGAUGCAGAGAACAGAAAUGCCUCUGUAUAUGAAGCUUCACCGAAAAAGGUGAUUAAAAAAAAAAAGUAAUUGAUUGGAAGGACAUUUUAUUAUCAAGACAUUGAUGGAAGAGAUCAAAUAUAUCAACACUCGUACCCAUAACUAAAUCUAACUGUACAAUCAAUCCUACAAAUGGCCAGAAUUUAUGAUUGAAUUAAUUAAUUACCAACAACAUCAAGGGUCUUAAUGGCACCACUGACACUGCAUCCAGUCUCAUGAGUAGUUUUUGACUUCUUAUUAUCAGAAACAAGUUUCUAUAUAGAAGGUUAUUUAGAGAACUGUUAUGAAUACCUCACAGUAUAUGCCAAAACAAGAAAAAUCAAAGCUGAAGUGGCAACGACAUAUUUGUCAAGGGGUGUUUUAAGCAUAAACAACAAGGAUGAGGGAGAACAGUCCCAGUGGCCGAAGGCAGAAGCAGGUAACGAGAUCAGAGCAAGCCACGCAAAACUUGGGGGGAGUGUCUGGAAAAGCUUGGCAGUGCUACGACUAACUGUGCUAGGAAACAGUCUUGCAGCGGGUUUAUUAGUUGUCUCAUUGCUUGAAUCCUCUAAAAAUCAAAGCAGGACAAUAUCCUGUUGUGUUCAAAUCUCAUUUCCGUUCUCCAAACUUAAAGGAAAACACAACGGAUCCAAUUCUGCCCUCAGUUAUAAUUGCUCAGAUACCUUCUGUAAUUACACAGUUACCUGGCCACAGACCAAAACAAGCUGUCUUGGGUAACAUGUUCUUGAAAAAGAAAUGGAAAACUCAGUAAGAAAGGACUAGAACAAGAUUCCUUGCUCUACUCUUGAACGGGUAUAUUGUAACAAAACACAGGGAAAUCUGAUUAUAAACAGGGAAUGGUAACUCCAAUCAAGACCAGAAGUAAAUGCUCACUUAAUGACAAGCAGUCAGUGAGGGAAAACACGGGAAGGUAAACAUGUUGUGCUUUAAGCAGCCUACAUAAAAGAGCUUGCUCAGUAUCAGUUAAUCCAUGUGGAAAUCUCACACGCCCAAGGACACCGAGAUCCAGAAUAUUUUGCAGAGGAAGGAGCAUCAGGCAAGCAAAGCAGAGCUCAGUAUGUCUGAAGCAGGAAUGCUUGCCAUUCUAAUGAAGCUAUCGCAGCCACUUUAGCACCUGCACAAGUGCACAGAGAAAACUAACAGUGGAUACAAUUUUUUUUUGGCAAGAAAAUGUCUGCAGAUGGAAAACCACUUUUCUGAACCAUUAGAAGAGGUACUGCAGCCCAAGACACUUAGUUCACUCCAGGGAGGAAAUAUUUCCUAAAAGCUUCCAGGCAAGCCACAGCAAAUAGCAAACCUCAUACUCCAAUCAGAACUAAAACUUCGGGAGCAUUCCAAGGACACUGCCAUCUCCAAAGGGAAAGGAGGAAGUGUCACCUGAGAAGAAACACAUGUUUCCAAAUCUCACUUGUGCCUGUAGGCAUGAGCCAUCCGGUUUAACAAGAUCUUAAAGCCACUGUGCAAUGUUGAGCACGCUCUUUAUUCACUUACUUUAUUAGAACUCACAGGCUUUUUCAUCCCUUUUCAAACUCCCAAGAAAGAAGGGCUCUAACCCACAGGGGCUACAGCCCAUGAAAUGGAUGUAUUUUUCCUCUGGUAGUGCUAGAAAACAGCAAAACACACACCUAAGCAGGGAACAUUUUAAACACUCAAUAUUUUCUCCUCUUUUAAAAUUUAUAUGUUGGAAACACAUUUAUUUUGAAUGAAUAUUGAUCCUUUAAAUGUCUGCAGCAGCUUUGAAAACCUCUGCUGUUACAAAGCAUGGUCACAGUUCAGAGAUUCUGGUAAGCAGAGGUUUUGUGUUAAGGAAAACAAGUCUUGGAACAGUUUCUAAAACUUUAGCAGACAGAUACAUAUAAAUUUGAAUAAUCAGUAAUUGUUAAGGAGUGGGGAAAUCCCCCACCCUGGUACCAAUCUCUCCUAAGUCUCAAGAGUGAAGGAGGGUGAACAACUUCACCUCAGGGUUGGUCUGUGAAGAACUGUUCCACCUGAAGCCAGCCAGAGAACCACACUGGACUGCAGCUCACUCCUUGGCAGGCCUUUUCUGCUUUGCCUUUUUUGUUCCCUUUCCAAAUUCGGUUUUGCUUAAAAGGGCUGGCCUGCUCUGUGCAGGCUUUACAUUAAACUCAGCUACUGUAUCCCAGGUUCUCAGCCAACAGCAGGGCCUUGGCUGUUGAAACCCCCAAGGAA